AUUGAACGCUGGCGGCAUGCCUUACACAUGCAAGUCGAACGGUAACAGGUUAAGCUGACGAGUGGCGAACGGGUGAGUAAUGCAUCGGAACGUGCCCGGUCGUGGGGGAUAACGCAGCGAAAGCUGCGCUAAUACCGCAUACGAUCUGAGGAUGAAAGCGGGGGACCGUAAGGCCUCGCGCGAUCGGAGCGGCCGAUGUCAGAUUAGGUAGUUGGUGGGGUAAAAGGCUCACCAAGCCGACGAUCUGUAUCUGGUCUGAGAGGACGACCAGCCACACUGGGACUGAGAAACGGCACAGACUCCUACGGGAGGCAGCAGUGGGGAAUUUUGGACAAUGGGAGCAAGCCUGAUCCAGCAAGGCCGCGUGCAGGAAGAAGGCCUUCGGGUUGUAAACUGCUUUUGUACGGAGCGAAAAGGCUCUCUCUAAUACAGGGGGCUCAUGACGGUACCGUAAGAAUAAGCACCGGCUAACUACGUGCCAGCAGCCGCCGUAA
rnacentral:rRNA from 1 species